GAGUUUGAUCAUGGCUCAGGAUGAACGUUGGCGGCGUGCUUAAUACAGCAAGUCGAACGAGGACAAAGUACUCGUACUCUGUUCCUAGUGGCGAACGGGUGAGUAACGCGUUGGUGACCUGCCCCGAAGAGGGGAAUAACAACUUGAAAGAGUUGCUAAUACCCCAUAGUACCAUCAGGGUUAGAUACCUGAUGAUUAAAGGAGUAAUCCGCUUCGGGAGGGGCCUGCGUCCCAUCAGCUAGUUGGUAGGGUAAUGGCCUACCAAGGCUACGACGGGUAGGGGGCCUGAGAGGGUGGCCCCCCACAAUGGUACUGAAACACGGACCAUACAUCUACGGAUGGCAGCAGUAGGGAAUAUUGCACAAUGGACGAAAGUCUGAUGCAGCAACGCCGCGUGUGCGAUGAAGGCCUUCGGGUUGUAAAGCACUUUUAUUAGUGACGAUUAUGACGGUAGCUAAUGAAUAAGCCACGGCUAACUACGUGCCAGCAGCCGCGGUAAUAC
rnacentral:rRNA from 1 species